UAACAAUUGUGUUAUAAAUUAUCAGACUCUUAAAAGCUAUAACCACAAAUAAGUAAAUAUUAUAUUAAAGCUGUUCUUAUGAAUAUUCAUGAGAUGAUACAACAUAUUAUAAGGUUAAUUUCUUGCAUUUGUAUCAUGUUUUUGUUUCAAACAGUUACCCCUCUACAGCAGACAAGUUGAAUCUUUGAUUGCAAUCUUUCCCUCUCUAAAUCUCAGCAUUGCUGGAGAGAAUGAAGGAUAUUUAAGUAUUUAAACUUAAUCUAGCAUAAUUUAGCUCACAGUUCUGCUGAAAUUUAUAUUUUAUUGGCAAAAUUAUAUUUUAUGUGUUUGUAGGAGCAUCUGUAUGACCCUGUGUCCCAUAAAGGAUUCAUUGAAAUGAAGCUUCGAAACAUGAGGCGGCAUCUUGAAGAGGGACAGCGACACUAUCAGAGAAAAUGGAAAGCUCCCUGCAGUGUGUCAGCAGGAACCUUAGAAACGUCAUCUAGUGAUGAAGUCCCAAAUGAAUGCUUGACUGUCAUCAAGAGAAUGAAGCCAUCAUCUGAGAACAUCGCAAUGGAAAAGACAUUUAUUCAUCGCAGGAACUGGAUCAGCAUGGAGUCACCAACAGUUGGUGACAUUUGCCAACAGUACCCCGCUUUAUUGACAUGCCAUCCUUGAUGAGAAAUGCUACAUCAUGCUGCAGGUCCUGAAGAGAUGCAGUUCGAAGCCGGUGCAGUGUCAAAUCUGCCAUGUCAUAUUUGCUGGAUUUUGUACUGGUGAGUUUUAUUUAUUCAUUCAUUAUGAUCUUGUAUCCUGGAUCACAAAUAACACUGAAAAAUAUGCGUAGCAUGAAAAAAAAGUAUUCAGUAUUUCUCUCUCCCUCUCUCUCAUCUCUUUGUCUCCUUCACUCUUCAUCUACCUUAUCUUCAUCUACAUUUCUAUACAGUUUGGGACUAGGAUCUCCUGUAUAUGUGACAGUGAUGACAUUGCCACAAGGAUCCAGCAACCACAACUAGUCUGCAUUGGAAACCUGACCAGAGAGGCCCACCAGUUUGUCAUUUUUGUCAAAAACGACAAAGUUGUAAUUCCACUGGAAGAUGAGAGCCUAACCUGUGCCUUGGAUAAGCUGUUUAAGUUCUUCUGGGUCUACAACUUUUCAUAUCCUCCCCAACUUACCUCAGUCUUCACCUUUUUUGAGUAUGUAUAUGACUUGCCAAUGUCUAAGACUGUAAGAAGAUCUAAAGCUUUGCACCUUCAAGACAGCAUUCAUCAGGGGAUAGCUUAAUGUGCAUGGCUGCCCAGCUUUCAGAAAGACAGGAGUCAUACAACAUUUAAGAUGAAAACAAAGCAGAUAACAGCAGCAGCACUCAUUUAACAACUAAUGCAACAUCAGAUGGUGAGGAAAGUGCCAAUUUGUGUUCAAAGUCUGAUGAUGCAGUGUCAGUUACCAGUCAUGCAGCAACAUUUG
ensembl:lncRNA